AACGGCUCACCAAGGCGACGAUGCGUAGCCGACCUGAGAGGGUGAUCGGCCACACUGGGACUGAGACACGGCCCAGACUCCUACGGGAGGCAGCAGUAGGGAAUCUUCCGCAAUGGACGAAAGUCUGACGGAGCAACGCCGCGUGAGUGAUGAAGGUUUUCGGAUCGUAAAGCUCUGUUGUUAGGGAAGAACAAGUGCCGUUCAAAUAGGGUUGUACCUUGACGGUACCUAACCAGAAAGCCACGGCUAACUACGUGCCAGCAGCCG
rnacentral:rRNA from 1 species